CCUGGAUCAUAGUCGGGUAAAAGGAAGAAAGCAUGUCGGUCACCCACCGACUCUUCAUGAUCUCCCGAUCGGUCGGGAGGAUGGUCGCUUGACACAACAUUCUGGCCAAAUUAUGGUUGGCCAAGGCCGACGCUCCUUCGGGCAGCUAAACGUCGGACGAUGCGGCGUGGCCUGCCGACUUGGUGUCGUCGCUCGGAGCCAUCGG
rnacentral:lncRNA from 1 species